GCACCUCAGAACAGUACCUUCAGGAGCAACAGGGAACACGUACCAACAGCACUAACAGGAAGAAGAGCACCUCUAACUCCUUCAGAAAGAAGAUGUCUUCUAGUGAUGUGUCCAGACACAUGAACACGAUAGAGCUCCAGCUGGAGGUGACUCGGUUCCUGCAUCACUGUGAAACAUCCAGCUCCGCCCCCACCCCCUCUGCCUCCUCCAGCACUCCUCCCACUCUGUUCGGCCCCAGCGCUAUGAAGAUCGAUGUAGCCUGCAAGGUGAUGUUGGGAGGAAAGAACAUCGAAGAGGGGUUUGGUAUC